UAUCAGUGUCCGUACAUCAAACUUGGUUUUCUUCUGUCCGUGUAGUCGGUGGAAGAUAUGCCAGAUGUGAAGUGUCUUGUGGCUGCUUUUAGAAUCGGCCGUGAGUCGUUUGAAAUGUACAGAACGGACUCUCUUUGUUCAAAAAGCGCGGCGUUGCUGGUUGUGAAGGCUGUCAGUGUGAUUAAUCGGCGACCGGUUUGUCUGCUAUGGCAUCAAUGAAGGAGUGUUCAAUUCGCGGUAUGGUUGGCUUUGGCUAAACAGGCGCUUAUGGAACGUUCUUUCUGCUAUGACAGUAUGGACUGGUGAACCGUAGUCGUACAUGACUUGGCGUUUGAAUCGGCUAUGCUGUGCGAAGUAGAGUGACAGUUUUGGCUGUCGAGGGUCGAUCAAUUUGGGAAAUUGUGCUGUGUGAUUUCGGUCGCGUGGCAUCUCAAUUGGACCUGAUAUCAGGCAAGAUUACCCGCUGAACUUAAGCAUAUCAAUAAGCGGAGGA
rnacentral:rRNA from 1 species